rnacentral:rRNA from 1 species
UGAGGAAUAUUGGUCAAUGGACGCAAGUCUGAACCAGCCAAGUAGCGUGCAGGAUGACGGCCCUAUGGGUUGUAAACUGCUUUUAUGCGGGGAUAAAGUGUGGGAUGUAUCCCAUUUUGCAGGUACCGCAUGAAUAAGGACCGGCUAAUUCCGUGCCAGCAGCCGCGGUAAUACGGAAGGUCCGGGCGUUAUCCGGAUUUAUUGGGUUUAAAGGGAGCGUAGGCCGGAGAUUAAGCGUGUUGUGAAAUGCCGCGGCUCAACCGUGGCACUGCAGCGCGAACUGGUUUUCUUGAGUGCGCGC